rnacentral:misc_RNA from 1 species
UGAGCAGGAGAUUGCUCUUUUAAGUCAGUUCGAACAUGAAAACAUAGUUCAGUAUUACGGCACUGAUAAGGAUGAAUCAAAACUAUAUAUCUUUCUUGAGCUUGUAACUAAAGGCUCCCUCUUGAAUCUCUAUCAAAGAUACAAUCUUCGAGACUCACAAGUUUCUGCAUACACAAGACAGAUUUUGCAUGGUUUGAAAUAUCUUCAUGAUCGAAAUGUUGUUCAUAGGGAUAUCAAAUGUGCAAAUAUAUUGGUAGAUGCUAAUGGAUCAGUGAAGCUUGCAGAUUUUGGAUUAGCGAAGGCGACAAAAUUGAAUGAUGUUAAAUCUUGCAAGGGGACUGC